UACGUAGGGACCGAGCGUUGUCCGGAUUCAUUGGGCGUAAAGAGCUCGUAGGCGGCUGUUCAAGUCGAACGUGAAAACUCGGAGCUCAACUCCGACCUGCGUUCGAUACUGGACGGCUAGAGUCUGGUAGGGGGAUCUGGAAUUCCUGGUGUAGCGGUGGAAUGCGCAGAGUAUCAGGAGGAACACCGGUGGCGGAAGGCGGGAUCCGUGGGCCAGUACUGACGCUGAGACGCGAAAGCGUGGGGAGCAAACAGG
rnacentral:rRNA from 1 species